rnacentral:rRNA from 1 species
UAUUAAGGGAAUAAGAUGGAUACCUUGGCACUAGGAGGCGACGAAGGACGUGGUAGGCUGCGAUAAGCCUCGGGGAGCCGUCAAACAGGCUUUGAUCCGGGGAUUUCCGAAUGGAGCAAUCCAGUGCGGGUAAUGCCGCACUACUUACAUCUGAAUACAUAGGAUGUAAGGGCGAACCAGAAGAACUGAAACAUCUUAGUAUUCUGAGGAAAAGAGAGAAACCUCGAUUCCCCCAGUAGCGGCGAGCGAAAAGGGAAGAGCCUAAACUAGAUGGGUGUCUAAGUCUGUAGGCGUUGCCCAUCUGGGGUUGUAGGUUGCUAAAUGCCAAUAUCUACAGUGAGGCGGAAAGAAUUCUUCUUUUAGGGGAAUAACACUGGAAAGGUUAGCCAGAGAGGGUAAUAGUCCCGUACUCGAAAAGAGAAGAGUUUUUUCUUUAGUAUACCUGAGUACCAUCGGACACGUGAAAUCCGGUGGGAAUCUAGGAGGAUCACCUCCUAAGGCUAAAUACUACCUAGUGACCGAUAGUGAACAAGUACCGUGAGGGAAAGGUGAAAAGAACCCCGGGAGGGGAGUGAAAUAGAACUUGAAAUCUUAUUCCUACAAGCAGUGGGAGC